ACAGGGGCUUUGAUAAACUGCCCAGCUAUAGGUGCAGAUUACCAUAGGUGUUGUCUCCUUGGUGAUUACCAUUCUCAGUGCCCUGAAUUCAGCUCAUUAGCUACUUUGCCUACACCUGGUUUCAAACCACAUCGUGUCAGUACUAGGCUGGAUUGUGACACCAGUCCAGGCAGCAGUAGCACCUUGGCUAGACCCAUCUGUAUACCAUGCCCUAUUAGGAAUGGGGGGAUGCACUUCCUAAUGGUGAAAGCUCAGCGUCUAGGGGUGCCUCAGGCCCCAUGGCCUUAUCUUGCAUUAGGAUCCUAAGGCUUCUUGUAACUCUGCUGCUAAGGGAGUUGUACUCAGGGUACUUCAUUCUUCCAGGUAGGCACCCCACUUCACUAAAGUGGAUAUGUGCCAUCCCAGUCCGGGGGGCCAUGAAUGCACCCAUCCUGCUAUUGGGGCUGUAUCAUGAACCAUGGUGAUGAUCUUCAUGAGCAAUCCUUCAAACUGACUGGAGUUGUGUCUCUGCGAGUCUUUGUUAUUGGCGUUUUGCUAUAUUUGUUUGUCUAGACUGCUGUAAUAACAUACCAUAAAUUAGGUAGCUUGUAAAUAACAGAAAUUUAUAUCUCACAGUUCAGAAGACUAGGAAGUCUAAGAUCAGGGCACCAGCAUGGUUGGGUUCUGAUGAGGGCUAUCUUCCAGGUUGCAGACUGCUGACUUCUCGUUGACUUCUCGUGUGGUAGAAAGGAUAAACAAGAUCUCUCAGCCUCUUUUGUAAGGACACUAAUCCCAUUGUAAGGGUUCUGCCCCCAUGAGCUAGUUACCUCUGAAAGGCAGCACGUUUUAAUACCAUCACCUUAGGAGUUAGGUUUCAACCUACGAAUUUUGGGGCAUAUAUUCAGACCAUAGUAUGUCUUAAGUUGGAAGUUGAUCCUAAUUCACAGUGGUUCUGGCUCAGAUACUGUCAGCCAUUCUGGGUUAGAUCCUACUUGGUGCUCUGGAUUACACCUCAGUUAAGCUAUUGCCACAUUAUAGACCUUCCUCUCCCCCAAAUAGUUUUGCUUCUGACUUUUGGAAUAGUGUCUGGAAAAUGACACCCCCCCCAUAUUUUCUAAGUAUGAUCUGUGUGAAAGUCUUAGUUGAAAUGUUGUUAUUUUAGCCAAGUUGAUUAAUACUGAAAGGUGUUACUAAGGCUAUAUAUUAAUGGAACUUCUGACAGUAGCUGCCAUUGGGUGAGCUUAGAUUAAAUAGUAAUUGUGAUUGAAAAGGAAUGUAAUUAAUUAUACCAUUUGAGUGGUUCUGGCUCUCAUUAAAAGGUGUCAUGAUUCAAGGAAUUGUGAUAGACAACCCUCAAAGUUAUACAGUUUUUAUUAAACCACAAGCACAGUGGAUUCAACUUUGGAAUGAUGUUCUUUCUCAGGGACCUUCCUGAAUUAUCAACAUUUUAUAUAUAUGUAAUAUAUAACAACUGUGUGGCUAGUCCACACCUGGAUUUCUAGCCAUUAGACUGGCUAACAAGAACACUUGGAAUUCUAAGGUUUCUUUAUGAGACAUUCAAAGGCCUUUGCCUAAAACCAUUUGUCUGAUAAAUGGAAAUUCAAAUAUAGGAAACCUAAUGGUCAUUUUGACAAUUUAGCUCUAUUUAUUUAUUCAUUACAAAAAUGGCAAAAAUGCGGUUUUAAUGAAGAAACUUACAUACAUUAUUCGUUAUUUUUAUUUUAAAACUGACCUGGGUAUAAAACAGAUUGUUGCAUUUUCUGAUGUGAUUUUUAACAAGAGCAGAGUAGCAGACGAUUUGAGCAUAACUGUAGAACACUGCAUGAUUGAAUGAGUGAAAUGCCAUACAAUUUUCAGUACUAGGUAGAAUUCUCACUACCCAUUAAAUUGAAAAAUGAGAGAAGCAAGACUUCUGCUGCCACCCACUUUGGUAAAGAGUCCAGUUUUCUUGGUACAAAAAUAAAAUGCCUACUCCACUCUCUUGAGCAAUAUCUUUGAAAUAUUACUAACCUCCAUGGCAGAGGUUGCUUAAUCUGCAAAUGUUUUGGCUAGCAAACCAUUAUUAUUGCUAAUAACCCUUACUCACAUUAUCCAGAGAACUGCUUCUUCUACCAUUCUUUAACAAAUGGAAUAUAGCAUAGUAGGCGUACUGAGCCGUAUUAAAUUUUACACAUCAUUAGUCCCUACCUCCCUUAAAGUUUUAGCUUAUAUUUUUUCUUUUCUAUCUUCCCCACAAAGACAUUUUUUUGUCCACUAAGGAAACAUAUUGAGUGAGAUCUCAUGCAGAUUAGUGUAAUUCUCUUGUGUAAUUUUGUUUAAAAAAUAGUUAAAGGGCUAUGGGAAAAUGUGGUGACUUUGAUAAAAAUAUUUUAAAAGUAAAAAUAAUGUGUUUUGACCGUGUGAAUGAUGUCACAUUUACUGUGUAAUAUGUAAUUUAAAACAACUACCACCAAAAUUUUUUUUAGUUUGACUCUCUUGAUUCACCAUAAUUAUAUCACAACAAACUCUUUU
rnacentral:lncRNA from 1 species